CAUGUGUUAAGCUACAUGUAAAGCUUAUGCUUAUAAGGACAAGUAUUAAGCUACAUGUCAUGCUAAAGCUUAUAAGAGGACAAGUGUGAAGUUGCAUGUUGUGUUUGAAGCAAUACUAGACACUUGUUAUCACACAUGUCACCAUUGUCUUCAUCUCUACUAUGAUGGAUGGUUGAGAUUAAAUCAUGAGACAAAACCCUAAUGAGGAGUAAGGUCCUCUUCCCACCUAUAAAUAGAUGGUUUGCUCCAUCACAAAUCAUCAUAAGAACAAAAACAACACAUAAAGAAAAGAGUUUAUAGGAAAGGGGAGAGAAACCUUAUCUUCCACCUAAAGAUCAUCUAAGAGUUUCUUUUCAAGCCUUCAAGCCAUUGAAGAAGAAGAAACUAUUCAAGGAAGCAUCAUUUCUACAAUGAGUGGAGAUAUGAUUCACAAGACGUGUCUAAUCCUCAAUGAGAAGCUUCCCCCGCUAACGAGACUUCCAAAUACCGCAGACCCUGGGCGUUUUGUCUUCCUUUGCUCUAUAAUAACAUGCAUAUAUCAUUUUUUUUUUGUUACUAUCUUUGUGAUUCCGGUUCUAACGUUAAUGUAAUGCAGAGAUAUUACCGAUAAACAUAGAUUACGAGAUAGAAUGUUGAUCCAACCUUAACUUAGUCAUUAAGGAUUCCUCACAAAAGUCAACGGAAGAUAAAUUCGUGAUCUACAAUUAGUUGUGGGAAACUGUAUCGUGUUCAUAUGGACUUCAUUACUUCAACAUCCUAGGAAUGGACAAAAAAAACUUGGUAGACCUUUGAUUCUUGGAAGAACAUUCCUAGCUAUAGCUGGUUCAAUCAUCAACAAAGUUAUCUUCUCCAAAAUCGACAAGAGGAGGUUCUAUUAAUCAACCCAUUGUACAAGACCGAUUCAAAGAAACAAGAAGGAUACAAGGAGUCACGAGAUUGAUAAGAUGGACGUCAAGGAUGUCACUAAAAGAACCAAGAAGUCUAUGGAAAAGUUUUAUGUGACUGAAUGUGAAAGAGAGAAGAGAACUUUGGUCUGUUUGUGAACAAACUCUUAUUUUCAACAUUUACAAUUGGGUUUUACACAGCCAUUCCACUGUUUGUUGCAACGUAAAAACAUCCUAAACCUGUUGGGUUACACAGCUUGUGUAGCCCUUCUGCUUUGCACAA